AUAUGGGACGCCGCCUCAGCAUGUCUUGAUGAGUGGUAUUGUUCCUGAGAGCAUUCCCCAAUAAACCAAGUGCAUACAAAUCUCCAUCUCUACAUCUGGUUCCUAGAACACAAGAAAGACAAGCUUCAGUGCCAAGAGUGGACUUAGAAAACAGACUCUAAAUUGGAAUUUUGAAGCUGUGUCAUUGGUCAGAUGGCUGGGGAUCACCAGACGACUUAAGAUUCCAGAGGACUUUGAAGCACUUGGCAACAGAGAAAAGUACAAGAUAGAAGGAGACUCGACCCCUCAAUCACCACUAGGAAGAGCUCUACUGAGAGUUGAAUAUCCGCAUUGAACUCGGAUCACUUGAGGAUAAAGAAUAUUGGAUCACGGCAGAGCCUAAAUUACAAAUUCCAACCAGUUGACAGAUUCAGCAUAAAAAGAGGAAAAUGCAAACUCAAAAGUUU